GAAAGGUAUUUCUCAGAGAUGGGCCCAAAGCUGCUUCUGUUUCCUUGUGGCCUCAGGCUGGCUCUAGCUAGUAGGACACCAUGACCCAGAGUAACUAAAGGGAAUUAUUGGCAUCCUCCCACGAGCUCCUACCAGGCCAGUGCCAGAAACACUCAUCUACUCCCUUAUGGAAGAUCACUGAGUCAUGAGAUCUGUGGUUUGUCUGAUUCUCCACUUCCCGAAGCCAGCCAAGGCUAACCGACCUGGGAUUCUGAGAGACUGUCCAGGUGAGCUCGGGUGCUUCAGUAGCAACUGGCCUUCUGGGUGUGCCCCAGAGCAAUUCUGAGUCCAGAGAUCGUUUCUGGCACCACCCUCAGCUCUCUCAGGGUUCUGGGAACCCAGUGAUCAGAGGCUGGCUGGCUGUGAGAUGUUCUUUCUCUUACCCUGUGGUGGGCUCCACAUUGCAGUCACUUCAUGCCUGCUGCUAAAAACCUAGGCCAGGCUUAUUACCUUUCAUCCAGACCAGAACUGAAAGCAGUUUCCAUCUCCUGGGCCAAUUCCAACUAAUUGGUAGUGGCUGCCCGAGCACUGUGUAGAGAAAGAUUUUGAGUUCAGCAGCAGAGUGUGGUUGUCCAUUGGUGACGAUUGCCAGAGGCACAGGUGGGUCACUGCAACUUGCAUUCUGUGUGUUUACUAAUUCUGAUCUGGACCAUUACAUCAGCCUGCUAAGUGGUGCACUUACCUCUAUUUCCUUCCAGAAAAAAA
ensembl:lncRNA novel transcript